ensembl:lncRNA
GUGGCUUAAAUUUAUUCUCCAGUUAAAGGUGACUGCAAGAAGCAAGAGGCCAGAUUGUGUCAACAAGAACACACGAAGAACCACAUUAUGGAAAAGCGGCCAGCAUAAUACCGCAGCCCAUUAAAUUAUGUGAAUUAUUCUGGCAUGGAAACAGCAGGAUUUGUGCUCAAUACAACCACCCUAAGCUCACAUGGAAAGAAUGCUGGCAUGUGUGCACCUUCACCAUUGAACCUCAAAGUCUCUGGAGGCUUCAGAUUGGCCUGGUGAAAACGAGCAGCUCUCUUUCUCCUCUGCCGCUCCCCCCUUUCCAUCUCUCCCCUGGUUGAGUGUUGCAAGCGGUUACUGCGCCACCACAACAAGAGGCUUAAACCCUCAAAACCGUGCAGGAUCAGCUCAGCGAUAUUUACACCAAGCAGGGCAGAUGUAAAACAGAAUCUCUUCAGUUAAUUGAAACAGUAAUGUCUUUGGAAUAUGUAACAAUUACAAUAACCUGCGUCUUUCUGGACUUUACAGAAACAGCUUGAUUUGAUUUUAACUGAUCUCACUCUUACAUAUGGGAACAAUCCUGCAAUUAUUUCAUUUUAAUACAAUUUAGAUAACCUAUUCAUUGUUCUUCUUACACGUCAAAAAUGAGCUUAGUAGUAAAGUAUGCCACAGUCUGGUGCCACAGAGGAGCAAUAAAACGCUAAUGUGUUUAACUAGUGCAGUGCCACAGCAGGAUCUUAAACAAGGGGCUCCACUGUCCUAACCAGUCAGAACGGUCUGUAAUGAUCCUAAGCACAACAAGCAGCAGGUUUUACAAGACCAUCGGUCAAAGAUCUGCUUCCGUUUAUGACUCUGACCUACUGCAAAACCUAGUGGCCUUCUAAUACUCAUAGUCCUGUAUUGCUGCAAGAAAUCCUGUGCACCUAAAUAAAUGAAACCAUUCAUUGUCUGCUCUCAAUGGGCUUGACACUUUUUAGACGACUGCAUCAUUGCAAAAUAUCCAUGAUUUGUCAUAUUAAGGAAAACCCUAGUGGCUGUUUUUCCAUUGGGCACUGGAUCCACAGAAUCACUGCCUCUUCGUCAUAUUAGUCAGAUUCACAUAGUACUGCCAACCAUGGAGACUGUACGCUGGAAAAAGUGUCAAUAUUUUAAAACACUUCAUAAUGUAGUUAUUGAGGGAAAAACAUCGACUGAAAACAGGCAUCCAGGAUGCAACACAAGUCUUGACAUAUAUCAUGGGUAUAAAUGCUCUCAUACUGUUGAACAGACUUUGUUCCAUUGAAAAUGUACAUGAAAUGACUUGAAUCAAAUCUGAGGAGUCAUGCAAGUUAAUAAUCCCUAUACCACGGUCUGUCUGAAUACUUGAUUCGGAUUGGCUGGAAGGUGUGCAUCCAAACCGUAUUAAGCACAGGUAUUUCCAGUCAGUACUAAAUUAAUGCUCUACCUAUAAACAGCUGUAGCCAUAGUAACAUACAGUUACAGUUGCGUACAGUAAUUCAACUCAGCCUCAUUAUUAGUAGAGUAUUUUUAGUAGAAUUUUGAUAAACAACAUCUAUAAUAAGUCUUCUCUUACACUAUAGCAGCAGAAAUAUCAUAACUCAACAAUAAAGUCAUUUUACUGUUUUUUUUUUUUGGUUUUUUUUUUUUACACUUGAGACCACAGCAUUAUGUGAAACUUAGCAAUAUUAUCUGAAACUUAGCUCCACCCACAGCACAAACAUGUCAAAUAUCCCUGAAAGUCUUGUAUACUGUCAGGUCAAUUUGUGCAUCACUAUACAUAAUAUGAACUCUUUAGAUGUUCGUUCCCAUCACUAGAAGGAUAUUAUAGAGUAAUUCCUCUAAGAAGUGAGUGUUGUUGGAUUCACAUUACAUUUUAUACACUGAAGAAUUAUUUUUUUAUUUUUUUUUAUUUUUUUUUAACAGUGCAGUGUUUUCUUGACUAAUCAAAAAAGCUGAUCAAAACUUUUUUUGAAAAAAAAUUUCAGCAAACUACUCUGGAAAAGUCUCUCUUGAGAGUGUCUUCAGAGUGAAACAAAUUUAAUUCUAACCACAUCAAAAGACUAAACUUGUGACUUUACUGAGUAUUCAAAAGUAUGCAUAUUUAAUUCGAAGAAACCCAAUUUGCCUAAAUACAUGUAAAUUUUUUAAAUUUCAGUACACUGUGAUAAACAGCUAUACACCUCAGUCUAUCACUGAAUAUGUUCAAAACAAAUUAUAAUUACAUGUGCAUUUGCUCAAAGAUGAGCAUUCCACACUUAUCCUGAAUUCAGCUUUGGACUUGGGGGGGCGACCCUCUGUGAGAGAGGCCUUUCAUAAUACUCAUAACACCCUGACCACAAAGGAACCAUUCAUCCCACAUGAAGACAUACUAUGAAGAGCAAACAACUUACCUGCUCCAGUCUGACCCCUGAAUAGGAGAGAAGAGCUCUGGAGACCUGGAGCUGGAUGGCAUGGAGCACUCUGCUGUAUUCCGUGUCUACAAAGGUAUAGGCCUUGCUCAGACGACAUCUUCUUCCAUAAGCAGCCUGCCAUGCUCGGUCUGAUAUAUGACCAGUCCUCACAAUCGCUCUGGUGCCAGUGCACACCUUCUUCAAGACCUUCUGGUUGUUCUUGAGGUACCUCCGGACCAGGACAGUGGACCGCUCCUUCUUGUGAGUGAACUCACUAUCAGAAGCUGUAGCCUCGCCAUCGCUGUGUUGGUGAGCCAAGGAAGGCUUUGAGGUUGUGGAAGCCUGGCAGGGCAUCCUCGAGCACCUGACUUUGGAUCUCUUGUUGAGCCUCUCCAGGCUCGAGAAGACUCCGUUGUGGCAAUGAGCAGAAUUAAAAUUCACCUGGCCCUGCGUUCCUGCUUCCAGCCUUGCACCAUAGGCACACGUGCAGUGGAAGCGCGACAAGAACAGCGUCGCUAAGCUGAUUCUCCUGGUGCCGAGCCUUUCCUCAUCUAGGCUUGGCGACUCUCCAGCAAGCCGCGUCGCAGCAGAAGAAAACCCCUCUGUUCUCCUCGGAAACCCUGAUUCCCAGCCUCCACUAUGUACGGCGGCCUCUUGGCAGCAACCGUCUGUUUCCACUGGCCCACAUGUGCUGCACGGCUGGCUGCAACACAAUCCCUCCACCCGGCGGCAUGACACUGUGCUGCAACAGCAGUCUUUGUGUAAAUAGUCCAGACUGUCCAAGCUCUUGGAUCUGCUGUCCAAAGGGCUUCUUGUACCACAGUCCAUACGUAUCUGUUCAGAUGAUUUAGAGUCACAGCAAUCCUCUGCUGGAUGUAGACUAUGUGAACAUGAACAAAACAUCAGUGGGUCUGAGUUUCUUCUCUCAUGUGCCUCAUAACCAAACGAUAACAUCUGAUUUCUGAAUUUUGUCAAAGAAGAAGCCGCUCUUGCCUCCAUUCCGACUCCCAGAAUCACAGCAGCCUUCUCCGAAGAUACAGAGAUGCUAGGAAGUCCAAUUCCAACCUGUUCCUCCACACAAACCCUCAUAUCACAAAAGCACUCAAUCACAGUUCAGGAUUUUUAAAAAAAUAAAACUAUAUCGGUUCCAAAAGAGUCACUUUUGUUGGAAGCAAAAGAAGAAUUCAGUUCCAAAAUAAGGAGCGGCACUCCCAGGUUGCGCAAUGCUCAGCCUUGUCUUCUCCAACCUCUACUCUCAAGAUCUGA